AUACGUAGGGGGCUAGCGUUAUCCGGAUUUACUGGGCGUAAAAGGGUGCGUAGGUGGUUUCUUAAGUCAGGAGUGAAAGGCUACGGCUCAACCGUAGUAAGCUCUUGAAACUGGGAAACUUGAGUGCAGGAGAGGAAAGUGGAAUUCCUAGUGUAGCGGUGAAAUGCGUAGAUAUUAGGAGGAACACCAGUAGCGAAGGCGGCUUUCUGGACUGUAACUGACACUGAGGCACGAAAGCGGUGGGGAGAC
rnacentral:rRNA from 1 species